rnacentral:rRNA from 1 species
UACGUAGGGGGCAAGCGUUGUCCGGAAUUAUUGGGCGUAAAGCGCUCGCAGGCGGUCUUUUAAGUCUGAUGUGAAAGCCCACGGCUCAACCGUGGAGGGUCAUUGGAAACUGGGAGACUUGAGUACAGAAGAGAAGAGUGGAAUUCCACGUGUAGCGGUGAAAUGCGUAGAGAUGAGGAGGAACACCAGUGGCGAAGGCGACUCUUUGGUCUGUAACUGACGCUGAGGCGCGAAAGCGUGGGGAGCAAACAGG